UCAGCGGCAGACGGGUGAGUAACACGUAUGUAACCUGCCCUCAAGACGGGGAUAACGCCUGGAAACGGGCGCUAAUACCGGAUGACCUUAGUUGGGGAAGCACCGGCUAAGGAAAGGCAAUAGCGCUUGAGGAGGGGCCUGCGGCCCAUCAGUUAGUUGGUAGGGUAACGGCCUACCAAGGCGAAGACGGGUAGGGGGUGUGAGAGCACGGCCCCCCACACUGGGACUGAGACACGGUCCAGACUCCUACGGGAGGCAGCAGCGGGGAAUAUUGCGCAAUGGACGGAAGUCAGACGCAGCGACGCCGCGUGGGUGAAGAAGGCCUUCGGGUUGUAAAGCCCUUUUCUGUGGGAAGAGGAAGGACGGUACCAUAGGAAUAAGCGUCGGCUAACUACGUGCCAGCAGCCGCGGUAAGACGUAGGACGCGAGCGUUAUCCGGAUUUACUGGGCGUAAAGCGUGUGUAGGCGGCGUGACAAGUUGGGCGUGAAAGCCCCGUGCUCAACGCGGGGAGGCCGCACAAUACUGUCAGGCUAGAGGGCAUCAGAGGGGUGUGGAAUUCCCGGAGUAGCGGUAAAAUGCGCAGAUAUCGGGAGGAACACCGGUGGCGAAAGCGGCACCCUGGGGUGCACCUGACGCUGAGAGACGACAGCUAGGGGGAGCGAACAGGAUUAGAGACCCUGGUAGUCCUAGCCGUAAACGAUGGAUGCUAGGUGUGGGAGUGAAGAACUUCUGUGCCGCAGCGAACGCGAUAAGCAUCCCGCCUGGGGAGUACGGCCGCAAGGUUAAAACUCAAACGAAUUGACGGGGACCCGCACAAGCAGCGGAGCGUGUGGUUUAAUUCGAUGCUACACGAAGAACCUUACCUGGGAUUGACAUAUGGGUGGUAGUGAGCCGAAAGGCAAGCGACCCUUCGGGGAGCCUAUACAGGUGCUGCAUGGCUGUCGUCAGCUCGUGCCGUGAGGUGUCGGGUUAAGUCCCGUAACGAGCGCAACCCCUGUCCUUAGUUACAAGUGUCUAAGGGGACUGCCGGCGGGAAGCCGGAGGAAGGUGGGGAUGACGUCAAGUCAGCAUGGCCCUUAUAUCCAGGGCGACACACACGCUACAAUGGUCGGUACAGAGGGCAGCGAAGCCGCG
rnacentral:rRNA from 1 species